rnacentral:rRNA from 1 species
AUAAAAAACCAAUGCCCUUCGGGGCUACUUGGUGAUUCAUGAUAACUUAACGGAUCGCAUGGCCUUGCGCCGGCGACGGUUCAUUCAAAUUUCUGCCCUAUCAACUUUCGAUGGUAAGGUAUUGGCUUACCAUGGUUUCAACGGGUAACGGGGAAUUAGGGUUCGAUUCCGGAGAGGGAGCCUGAGAAACGGCUACCACAUCCAAGGAAGGCAGCAGGCGCGCAAAUUACCCAAUCCCGACACGGGGAGGUAGUGACAAUAAAUACUGAUACAGGGCUCUUUUGGGUCUUGUAAUUGGAAUGAGUACAAUUUAAACCCCUUAACGAGGAACAAUUGGAGGGCAAGUCUGGUGCCAGCAGCCGCGGUAAUUCCAGCUCCAAUAGCGUAUAUUAAAGUUGUUGCAGUUAAAAAGCUCGUAGUUGAACCUUGGGCCUGGCUGGCCGGUCCGCCUCACCGCGUGUACUGGUUCGGCUGGGCCUUUCCUUCUGGGGAUCCGCAUGCCCUUUACUGGGUGUGU